ensembl:lncRNA
AGACAGAGAGAGAGAGAGAAAGAUAGAGACAGAGAGAGAGAGACAGUGAGAGAGACAGUGAGAGAGAUAGAGACAGAGACAGAGAGAGUGAGAGAGAUAGAGACAGAGAGAAAGCGAGAGAGAGAGAGAGAGAGAGACAAAGUGAGGGGAAAAAAAGUUGGAAUAGAAUAAAAGUAUUUCCAGGGAGAUCCUGUGAGAGGAAACUCGCUCCAUUUCAAUCCCAAAAGAUUAUAAUAAUGAGGAAGUGCUGUAAAGGUUUCAGGUUCGUCAUGGGCCAGUGUGUACCAGAAAGU